rnacentral:rRNA from 1 species
CCCUUAGAUGUCCGGGGCCGCACGCGCGCUACACUGAAGGAAUCAGCGUGGCUUUCUCCCUGACCCGAAAGGGUUGGGAAACCCGUUGAAUCUCCUUCGUGAUAGGGAUUGGGGCUUGAAAUUGUUCCCCAUGAACGAGGAAUUCCCAGUAAGCGCGAGUCAUAAGCUCACGUUGAUUACGUCCCUGCCCUUUGUACACACCGCCCGUCGCUACUACCGAUUGAACGGUUUAGUGAGGGCCUCGGAUUGGUCUCGGCCCGCUCUUUACCGGGCGGCGCCGUUGGUCGAGAAGACGCUCGAACUUGAUCGUUUAGAGGAAGUAAAAGUCGUAACA